rnacentral:rRNA from 1 species
GGUUAAGUGACUAAGCGUACACGGUGGAUGCCUAGGCAGUCAGAGGCGAUGAAGGGCGUGCUAAUCUGCGAAAAGCGUCGGUAAGGUGAUAUGAACCGUUAUAACCGGCGAUACCCGAAUGGGGAAACCCAGUGUGUU